rnacentral:rRNA from 1 species
UACGUAGGGGGCAAGCGUUGUCCGGAUUUAUUGGGCGGAAAGAGCGUGUAGGCGGCUAGAUAGGUCCGUUGUGAAAACUCGAGGCUCAACCUCGAGACGUCGGUUGAAACCGUAUGGCUAGAGUCCGGAAGAGGAGAGUGGAAUUCCCGGUGUAGCGGUGAAAUGCGCAGAUAUCGGGAAGAACACCGGUGGCGAAGGCGGGUCUCUGGGCAGUAACUGACGCUGAGGAGCGAAAGCGUGGGGAGCGAACAGG